UAUUAUUAUCAUUAUUAUUAUUAUUAUUAUUAUUAUUAUUAUUAUUAUUAUUAUUAUUAUUAUUAUUAUUAUUAUUAUUAUUAUUAUUAUUAUUAUUAUUAUUAUUAUUAUUUUAUUUUAUUUUAUUCAGGGAGGCGGGCAUCUAGUACCCAUUGUUUUAAUUACUGGGACACUUGUCCAUCUUUUACUCCCCUUUUUUUUUCUUUUAUAUUUUUGCAUAGCCACAUGUAUCCUUUGAAUACAAUAAAUGAUCAAAGAGGUAACAGUAAGAACUUAGGGCUUUAAUGAUGGGCUUUAUCCUAUGGGUAUGGUUUAUGUUGGUGUUUACUCCCGGUGUAGGAAUAAUGCAUAUGUGAACUGGAGUGUGUACGUGAUCUUGGUUUUAAAAGCAUGACAAGACUCUCGUAAGGUAUACUACAAAGGUUGACUAAACUCAAUGCAAAGCAAGCAACAUAAAUGUGCAAAAGUUUUCCUAACUCUAAAUGUAUAUUAUAUAUGGCUUUGGUAGGAAUUCAAACUUGUCAUACAAGAGCUCAUCAUGUAAAUUUCAGGUUUUCAAAAUAAAUCUCCAAAACUUAGUAAUGCUAGGAAUAAGAUAAAUAGCAGCUCAGACUUUCAAUGAUCAUAUCAACCAACUACCUAGACUUAGCUCAAACUUAUGACUCCACAAGUUGCAGGUUUAGAGUAAACCUUCAAACUAAAACAGUCAUGUCCAAAACUCGAGAGAAUCUAACAUUGGAAUCUAGGUACUUGUAAAGAAUUAUAAUAGAGCAACUAUUCAUCAUCUCCAAGACAAAAUUUUAAUGUUCAUUAAUUUUUGUUUAGCUCUAGUUUAGACUGACUCUAAACAGACUCUGACACUUAACUUAUUAUAAACUCACAAAAAAGACUCUAUGACCUAUGGACCUUCAUGUGCCCACAUAUUUUUGGUAUUUUUAUGACUAUAUAGACUUAAAAUCACUUAGGUAUAAUUACCUGAUAACUAGGGGAUGCUCCUGCCCCAAGCUGGAUGGUUGCAAUACUUGGUGUAGAUGUCUUUUAGAGUGAGCUAACCAGUAGCGGACUUGGUGGGUGCCACUGAUAGACUCUCUCCUUACUAUGAUGUUAUUCCUACAUAAAUACUGUCCACAAAGAGAAACCAAAACUCGAGGCUCAAAUUUGUUAAUGGGUUAGCGGUCAGCCAAAAAGUAAUUAAUCUCCUUUAUGAGCUAGUUUUAUUGUUGUCUAAUUUAAACAGGAUUUCAAUUUUCUCUUAUUUUUGAAUUUUCUAUUUAUGAUGUAGGAAUUUAAAUAUGAAUGCUAUUUUUAUGGCACCACAGUAAAUAUUCCUAAGGGGUUACCAUAAGUUUAUUCACAUGGGGCUUGGUAUUUAUGAUGUAGUAAUUAAAGCAGUAAAUAUUUGUUUGUAUUUUGUAUUAAUAUGCUAAGAGAAAUAAAUAUGCUACUAGGUGUAUUAAAACAAAAUUACUAAUGCAUGCUAACUUAACUAGAUAACUACCAUUCUGACCUUGUGGCUAGGGUACGGAAUUUCAAGUCUACCAACAGGACUUAGAUAGAAGGGAACACUUACUCAGUGGGUUCAUCGUUUGAGGUAACCUCAGUGUUGACGGUCCUUAAUGCUCACAUUUAACCAUCAACUAAUCAUAGAAAAGGAUCCAAAUGCAACCAACACCUAGACUUAGGGUUUUAUCUGACAGAAUUCCACAAGUUUUGGUGUUUGUCUAUUUCUGCAGGGAGUUAUCAGGAAAUACGGAAGAAAGGCCCACACGUCGGGUUUACAUAGAGAUAUUAACGUGCCGCGCAAUUUUCUAUCAUCUAGAAGACUCCAGAAGCCACAGGACCGAACGGGAGACGUAACGGAGCCGGGCACUGGGCGCCCGCCCUCCCUUACUGGGCGCCCGCCCUCCCCCCUGGACCAAUCAGGGUGAAGUUCGGGGAUCAUGCUCCACCGACCUAAUACUUCAAGGAAAACCACACGAUCAAUGUCGGUUUGAUCCGACGACCCAGAUUCACUUGAAGGGACUAUAAAACCAGACCCCCCUGGCCCCUGGAGAUCAUACCUCUUCUACAGAAUCAAAGUUAGGGUUUCAAUUCUUCAUCCAAGUAGAGAGGAUCCCUCUAAUUCUUCUAGUUCUACCUCUAGUUCAUCUAGAUCUAGUUCUAGUUCAUCUAGUUCUAGUUCUAGUUCCUCUAGUUCUAGUUCUAGUUAGUUCUAGUUGUAAUCUAGAAAAUAGGGAGAGAGAAGAGGAGAGCGGAGGAGGAGCCGGAUCUGUCGGAUCUUCCUCAACAUUAUACUUUUGCAGCAUCUGGUUCGUUCUUCAUCGUUCUCCAGGUUCUUCAAUUCAUAAUCCUGAGUUCUUUAAUUAUUUUUAUUUACAUUCAAGUUAUUUAUUGGAUUCCCGCUUGCAUCAAGUGCUCUAGUCUUUAUAACGCUAGAGUAGUAAUUAAUAGAUUAGACGUGGUGUUUAGUCUUGCGAUUACCUGGAAUUGCACCCAAUCCUGCGGAUUGUUGUGGUAGCCCUAGGGUAGUGACAGCCCUAACGGUCGACGUAUUCCACCACGUUCGGAUCGGUGUUUGUAGGACCGUAGUCAGACCUUCUUAGCCCCCUUCUCAUCUCUUUCUGUGGUUAGUGCUCUGAUGUCCCGAUAUAGAUAAUCUUGAAGUAAUUCUUGAUUCUUAGAUCAACUAGAGAACUCUCAGGAAACUUCCUCUCUUCCCACCAAAAAUAAUUAUAUAGUUAUCCUUGGACGAUCUUGGAUCUUAAUUAGUACACUCACGUUCUCUGUGGAAAAUCGAUACUCUGGAAUACUCCCGGGUGAAGGCUACAUCGGUAUCCGUGCGCUUGCGGAUUUUUUCUGUUUGCGUUUAAAAUACCCAACAAGCUUUCUGGCGCCGUUGCUGGGGAACGGUAGCUGUGCUAGUUUCGAACCAAGUCGUCCGUGUAUCCUUUUUCUUUUCUUUUUUUACCACACUCACCUUACCAUUUUCACCACACCACAUGGAUUUCACUCUAAGUAUUAAUGAGCAUGGAAUUUAUUACAUAGCCACUUCAUUUACUCCAUGCUCAUAUGCAACAUCUUCACAAUCCAUUGGUUUUUCCAACACCACCACAUUCGAGAUCUCCAACCCCCUCAUCCUUUCUAUUUAUAAAAACUUUAAAAGGGCGGUUAUCGAUGCAUAUGUCUAUAAUAAAUUUUGCAGAUCUCGUUGAGUUGAUCUUGAUAUAGGUCAGCGUUGGAGGGGAAACCACUUCACUGACAUAAAUUGAUGGUUUCCCAAGGACAAGCUUAGUGUCCUAAAACAAGCACUGAUUUGAUCAUAACAUGAGCUUUUAAUUAUUUGCCACAUUAACUUGUGUAUUGAGCAUAUAAGGAUAAUUGUACAAAUAUUCCUUCGGGUAUUCUUGUCACUAACCUUUCCAGGUUUGGAGCAAGAAGAUCGGAUGAAUGACAAGCACAAGGUAUAUCCAACCAAUCAUCAUACAGCAUUGAAUUAAAUUCAUCCAAACUUGAAUUCUGCAAAAAUUCAAGCUUGAGGGAGUACUUUACAUAAAAACAUCCUUUGCCAUGUUGCUAUGUUGGUUGUCCCUACCUUUGAGACAUGCUCAAUUUGUUAAAUACUAACCACACUACUUCAUCUCCACUUGAGUAGAUCUCUAUAAAUACUUUCAUGCUACCUUUAUUUGCUUUAGUAUAUGUCUAGGUUUGGAGUGGUUUCGUUUAUCUCUUAAUUAAGCAUGGUGCUUAGUUUAGGAAUGAUGAUCUUACUUCCAAAGGAUUUUAAAUUAAGCAUGAUGCUUAGGUUAAAAUGCCCUCCUAAAUCAAAUUAGACAUGGUGUCUAGGUUGAUCUUUGAGCCGAUAGUAUGCUAUAGUAGAUAUUGGAUAUUUUGUUGGACUAACCCCUGCAGGAAAACUUUCAAUAUCGACGUGGGAAGUCCUGAGAUAAACUCACAUUGGAGACAAAGAGAGAGGCACAUGAAGUUUAACAAUUUACACAAGGAAGGCAUAGCUCACAAGAGAUGAUCCAUGAAGGGUGCCACAAACACGAUGCACAACCACUAAGAAAGGAAAGCUUCCACAAGGUGAUACUGUACCAUCACUCUUCAAGUAAGGUAACAUCUUAAGGUACUUGACUAUCACUUCUAUAAGCUUCUCCUUGGUUCUAGCAUUCACAUGAAUAAAAGAGACAAACAUGUAUGAUUUAUAACUCUAGAUUAACCAACCCAAUCGAUUCAACAUGUUUAGUCCUUUCACCUUUGUGAUCCCACACUCCUAAUCAUAUGAACUAAAAAUGUUGCACACUCAAUCUUUGGAAGAUAUAUAUUAUAUAAAAAACAACAUAACUAUAGAUAGAUUAUCUUUCCAUUAGGUUGAGUGAUCUGAUCUGACAAAUGUUUUAAAUGUUACACUCAUGGUCUUAUUAUCCAUCAACUUUGUCUUGCUCGCUAUGCUUAAGGUUAGAGAGAUCAAAUACACUUUUGGUUAUGUUGGUGUGUUCCACCAACAGGGCCCAUGCACUUGAUCUCUGCCUUGUCUAUGAGCAGGUACACUUCCAGCAAAAUAUGAAGGACUUUUACAACUCCCAGACUACACCAAGUGAAGAACCUAGAUCUACAAGCACACACACACUGAAGAUACUGAACAAUCAGGCAAUCACUGCCCUGAGAUGCUUGAGGACGUAACUACUGGAGUAACCCUGUUGUGGAAGUAAUUACUGACCUUCUGCCGGUCAAGAGAGGCGAUCCAGGACGCCCCGUCAUCCCAAUCUCCAUCGGCAUGGUGGACUUCCUAGAAGCACUCUGCGACUUUGGCUCCAGCGUCAACAUUAUGCCCAGGAUUUCCCAAAGGGAAUGUUGAAGAACCUCUACGUCCGAGUUGGUACCUUGUACGCCCCAGCAGACUUCGUGGUGAUAGAGACUGGUACUGAUGAGAGGGCACCCAUCAUCCUAGGGAGGCCAUUCCUAAACACCUGAGUAACUGUCAUCUAUGCUAGUGCUGCCAAGAUCAGUUUCUACAUCAAGGGGAGGAAGGAGACGUUUUCCUUCAAGAACAAGACUAUACAAAUCUCAGAGCAUUCCCGACAUGAACUAAGGAAGAGGACCAACAGGAGGAACAGGAACAAGAAAGUGUGGACCGAGUCAGCUAAGAUGGCCACUACAGUUCAAGGAGGUCAAGAUCAUCUAUUUAAGUCACCGUUCCUGACCAAAAAGGACGACCUAGGCAUGCCAAGCAUCCAGUGCUCCAUUAAUGGAUACAACUUCCAGAAGACACUCUACGACACCGGGUCAGGCAUCAACAUAAUGGCCGCAGUCACUUAUCAGCUCCUGCAUGGAACCAUGUCCCUACAACCAACAUACAUUCAGCUCCAGAUGAUUUUAAGGUUAUUGACAUGGGAGAAGACAAGUACGAUCCACCCAUCAUCCUUGGAAGACCGUUCCUCAGCACUGUUAAAGCAAUCAUCUACAUUGGAACCGGAGAAGUCCACAUGCACUUCCCCUCUGAGAAGGUACGCUGCUAUUUUACUGACCCUAACUAUAUAGUUGAAGACUCUAAGCAGGUCAGGACAAGAAGAAGACAAUGCAACCGCAACUAGAGGAGGCAAAUUAUCAAGGACGGAUGGACAGACUACGAAGGAGAAGUAGUGAGGUCUGAAGACAUAUAGCUUGAACAGAACUGUCCUGAUGAGACCGUAGCACCGAGUCAGGUGUGGAGAGAGAAGAUAGUUAUACACGAAGAAGAAGCGUCGCCGGAACCACCGACUACGCCAUCCAGCAAAUCCCAGGACAACUGAGAGUCCCGUUCGGAGGACUUGAAAACGCCGAACGCCUUGCCAAGAGGUAAACUUGGUAGUUAUCUUUUUUCCUUUCAAUUAUUUUAAAAUAGUUUGCUUAGUUAAUCAGGUUCACAUCAUCUUAAAAAGAAAAUAAAAAUGUUAAAAAUAGUAAGCCCCAUGUGAGUAUGCUCAUGGCAUAAAACCCAUAAGUACAUCCACUGUGGUGGCGUAAAAAUGAAAUAAGUAUAUUCCUAUCCUAUAAAAAUAAAAUUAUAAAAAUUAAUGAUCCUACUAAAGAGAGUAACAUUUAUUGAGGAGGCUCAACAUGAUAAAGGCUAGAUAUUUAUGCUAACACUUAACUAGUUCCACAAAGCUUUGUUGUCUAUUUGAGCUCCACAGAAUUCAAGGAUCAAAGAAGACUAGCAGACAGAGAACAUCCUAAUCGCUGUCAGGGUGCUGCCAGACAUACCUCCGCCACCUGCUGGCUACAUCAGAAGAAAUUACGUCAAAAUCCAGCUUGGGGGAGAGCACCCCCAUUUAUCCAGCUAAGUAUUCUACUCACGACUAUACUUUACUCAAAUAAUAAAAAGAUGCAUAAUCAUAAAAACCCAAAUAAAGAUUUUGUGCUUAUAUAUAUCUUUGCUUAGUUUGCUAAAUAAAUAAAUAAAUAAAAUUUGCUAUGAACCCGCAUGAUAAGCUCUCAUAUGGAAAUGAUGAAUAGUUGCUCUGCCAUGACUAGUUCUCAAAAUUGAAAUCUCUCUCAAGUUUAGGCAUGACUAUUAUUAGUUAAGAUUUGCUCUAAACCUAAACUUGUGGGAAGAGUACUUGAUCUAAAGUCUAAGUCGUUAACGGAUAUGAUAUGGGAAGGUUGAGCUGCUGUUUAUCUGUUCCUAGAGAUACUAGAAUUCUGGAGAAUUUUAUCUUUGAAAAUCUUUAAAAUGUUGCAUGAUGAGUUCCUGUAUGAUGAGAGUUUAAAUUCCUACCACAACCAUAUAUACAUGCUUAUUAGACUAUGAACCACACAUUUACUUUUUACUACUUAUGAGCAUUGAGUGUGGUCAAGCUGUGUAGACCCUUAGGAGCUUGUCAUGUGGUUAAAAUCAAGAUUCACUUGCACGUUCACUCAUACAUGCUACUUCUACUUCAGAAGUACGCAUCCACAUAUAUCCAUCCACUUGCAUCUCCAGAACCACCCAAAAAUAUUCUACUCCUAAUCCGGGAGAGAAUAGCCAAAAACAUUCUCCUAUUUCUGUUUUCCCCUGUGAAAUAAAUGCUCAAGUUAUCUUAGUUACUACCACUUGCUAUAUUAUUUCAGGAGAUGAGUGCUCUAAAAAAAAGAAAAAAAAGAAAGAGAGAAAAAAAAAGAGAUACGAGGAAAUAAAAAGGGGCAAGUGCCCGGAACCUCGAAAGAAAAAAAAAGUGAGACGAGAGGUAAAAAUGGACAAGUGUCCGACAGUAGAAUUAGGGGUACAAGAUACCCACCUGAGAGAAAAGAAAAAUAAAAUAUAGAGCAUCUCAUUCUCCUCAAAAAGUUUCAAAAGAGCAAGAAAGGUAUGUAUCCGCUCAAAAGAGCAAAAGUAGAAUUAAACUUUCACCAUUGUUAUCACCAUCAUUACCAUGCACCAUUCAUUCGCCACACAUGCACAUCUUGAUUUGACUUAUUGACUUGUUCUUCUGGAUCCAUGGUUUGACUAUGCAAUAAAUGUCUUGUAAGUAUGUAUUAGCUGUCUCCCACCUAUGAGCUCCAGAUAUCAAAACCUUAUUAGAGUAGGGUGAGAGAGAAGGCAAUGCCACUAUGCCUUAUACCACAAAUACCACAUACUUUGAGAGAAGGCAUAUACCAUUACUGCCUUGGUAAGGAUCCAGAAAUACCACAAAUGAGAGACUAGAGAGAGUCAUACAAGGAAUCUCUGAGUUUUAUUUGAAAAUCUGCAAAAACCCCAGAGCUAUAGCUGAUCAAGAAUAAGAGACAUGGCACUUGACUAGACUGUUCUAUUUUUUAACUACUCAAGACAGAAGUGACGGUUGCAAGCCCCAUGGUGAAGGUAAAAUGAGUAAGUUUAAUUCUUAACAGUUUACCCUAACUCAGAGAUGAGAUCUUGUUUGAACUCAUGUGUACAUUUAAGGCAUGAAACCACUGCAGAAACUCUUGAGUUCAUCUUUGCUCAGGGACGAGCAAAGGUUAAGCUUGGGGGAGCUUGUUGACGGUCCUUAAUGCUCACAUUUAACCAUCAACUAAUCAUAGAAAAGGAUCCAAAUGCAACCAACACCUAGACUUAGGGUUUUAUUUGACAGAAUUUCACAAGUUUGGUGUUUGUCUAUUUCUGCAGGGAGUUAUCAGGAAAUACGGAAGAAAGGCCCACACGUCGGGUUUACAUAGAGAUAUUAACGUGCCGCGCAAUUUUCUAUCAUCUAGAAGACUCCAGAAGCCACAGGACCGAACGGGAGACGUAACGGAGCCGGGCACUGGGCGCCCGUCCUCCCUUACUGGGCGCCCGCCCUCCCCCCUGGACCAAUCAGGGUGAAGUUCGGGGAUCAUGCUCCACCGACCUAAUACUUCAAGGAAAACCACACGAUCAAUGUCGGUUUGAUCCGACGGCCCAGAUUCACUUGAAGGGACUAUAAAACCAGACCCCCCUGGCCCCUGGAGAUUAUACCUCUUCUACAGAAUCAAAGUUAGGGUUUCAAUUCUUCAUCCAAGUAGAGAGGAUCCCUCUAGUUCUUCUAGUUCUACCUCUAGUUCAUCUAGAUCUAGUUCUAGUUCAUCUAGUUCUAGUUCUAGUUCCUCUAUUUCUAGUUCUAGUUAGUUCUAGUUGUAAUCUAGAAAAUAGGGAG
rnacentral:lncRNA from 1 species